ensembl:lncRNA
CUGUCUUAAAGGAUACUUCCAGUUUUAUAUAAACAGGGGCUGUAAUUCCGAAGUUAGCCAACAUUUCCAUCUGAAAUAAUAACAAUUCACUCACGAGGCUUAAAAAAUGUCUGAACAGGAAAGCAACCUUCUAAUAGCUAUGACUCCUCACAGCGAGCUGUUUUUGCGAGAGACAACGCGCUUUGAUGUGGAUGACGGAGGUGAGGCGUCCCUGUCCCCAGAUGCCCAGACGGUGCGGUUAAGGGGGCUUUAUCGCACUGCAGACAGGAGACCAGCACUCACCCACAGCCGCCCCAUCUUUCACCGCGGCCCGAAGGCCGAAUGUGACAACCGAUGCUCCCCAGCUGCUGCGGGUGGGGGGAGGGGGGGCAGGCCCCCAAAACCACAGACGAAUAAUGAAUGCCACACCAUCGUGACAACUUGCACUUUUAUGGAGAGGGGAGGAAGGACAUCUCUGGCACGGACGCUCGCAGCACACGAUGAAACUUCCUCCAUAAACGACGCAGACUAUCAAAAGGAGGGCCGGGAAGCAGCCGUGGAAUCUGUAACUGAUUUAUGACCCUUGCCAAAAAAGGACUGAUUCCCAAGUAAAUGUGCUUGGAGUUGGAUUGCGGGAAAGCCGAGAAGAGAUCCCU